UUCACCCAGGGCUCUCAGGGCACUCCCAAACUGCAGGGGGCAAUCAUGCAACAAAAGUUGGUGGAACCAACUUUUGGGGAAGUAGCUUUGGGACUAUAUUUGCCUGCGCACCCACAGAGAGAGCAUGGCAUUGAAAUGUUUGUAGAGAGUUCGGUUGGUUCUCUCAUUUAUUCCUGGAAAAGGACACUAUGAUUACAGCUCCUGAUCACUCAAAGACGCAACUGGUUAUCAACCUAUACCUACUGCCCCACACUGAUCUAUCAAGUCACAUUCAAGAAACUAUACCAUAUUAUUCCAUCACUGGUCUAUCAAACCAUCUCAAAGAAAAUAAAGAAUCAAGAAGUGAAAAGA